GGUUGUGAUCAUGCCAGCACUAAUGCACCUGAUCCCAUCAGAGCUCCGUAGUUAAGCGUGCUUGGGUGAGAGUUGUACUAUGAUGGGUGACUCCCAGGGAAGUCCUCGUGUUGCAUCCC